rnacentral:rRNA from 1 species
ACGACUACAUUAGAUACCGUGUAGUCCUAGCCGUAAACGAUACUCGCUAGGUGUCGGCCACGGUGCGACCGUUGUCGGUGCCGUAGGGAAGCCGUGAAGCGAGCCACCUGGGAAGUACGGCCGCAAGGCUGAAACUUAAAGGAAUUGGCGGGGGAGCACAACAACGGGUGGAGCUUGCGGUUUAAUUGGAUUCAACGCCGGAAAUCUUACCGGGACCGACAGCAACAUGAAGGCCAAGCUGAAGACUUUGCCGGAUUAGCUG